rnacentral:lncRNA from 10 species
AAAUUUUUCUUAGCUUUAGUUUGGUAGGGUUUUCCCCCUGGGACUAUGGCCCACGACUCUGGAAGGGGAGGCACUUUCUUGACUCGGUUGUGAUGAGUCCAUCCUUUUUUAGCUGUAUGAACAGUAGUCUCGGUGGUUAGCAGCACAAGGUAGGGUCCUUCCUAGGCUGGCUUGAGUUUCCUUUCUUUUCAUCCUUUGAUGAGAACGUGAUCCUCAGGCUGGUGCUGGUUUGCCGGAAAUUCUAGGGGUGGUACAUGUCCAAGUUUCAGAUGUCCGGACUCUAAGUGCCAGUUCCUUCCUGGUGUUCAGCCACUGCAUUGAUCCUUCAUGGGGGCCUGCCACGCACUGCUCUGGUGAGGCAUUCCACUGGGGCAAUUGCCUACCUAGGAGCACUCUCAGGAUCCGCAUCACUCAAGCUGGCCAGAGUGCCCCACAGGGAUGCUCCACAGGGCAGGCCUAAGCCGCCUAAGGGGCUGCCUCAACCAUCCGUUAAUCACCUCGCUUCCCUCCGUCACGUCGUUUGAUUUACAGAACACAUUGUCAUUUGGCAUCUCAAGGGUGUUGUGACUUUCGGAGUGUCUGAAGCUUGCUUCCUGGGCUGGGCAGUAUUUAUUUCAUGAAGGACAACAGCAGUCACAGCAGAGGAAAAGCAUUUUCCUUAAGUGGCUUGUGGGUGAUAGACACCACUUUCUUAUAAUUCUGGAGGCUGUGAAAUCCAAGAUCAAGAGACCAGCAGGUUCAGCUUCUCUAGUGAAGGAUGCAUCCUACUUGCAAGAUGGCACCUUAAUGUUGGAUUCUCCAGAGGGGAGGAGUGUUGUGUCCUCACAUGGCAAAAGGCAGAAGGAUAAAAGGGAGGAGCUCCCUCUCUCAAGGCCCUUUAUAUGGGAACUGAAUCCUAUUCAUGAGGGAGGAGUCUUCAUAGCCUAAUCACCUCUUAAAGCCCCACCUCUUGAUAGUGUCACAUUGGCAACACCUGAAUUUGGGAGAGGACACAUUCAAGCAGUUACACUUGGAUUUUCUUUGAAGUUUGUUUUUGUUUUUGUUUUUUUGAGACAGGAUCUUACUCUAUCACCCAGGCUGGAGUGCAGUGGUGUGAUUAUAGCUCACCAUAACACUCAAACCCGUGGGCUCAAGCGAUCCUCCUGCCUCAGGCACUAGGAUUGCAGCUGUACCACUACACCUGGCUAAUUUUAUAAUUUCUUGUAGAGACAGGGUCUCACUAUGUUUUCCUAGCUAAUCUCAAACUCCUGCCUCAAGCAAUUCUCCAGUCUCGGCCUCCCACAGCAUUGGAAUUACAGGCAUGAGCCACCUUGCCUGGCCCUCUCAGAAGUCCUCUUUCACCUGUACUCCAAUGAGAAUACGUCAUUUUCUCUGGAUUUCUGGGUGCAAGGAUUUUUUUCCUAGACCACUUUGUUGGUUCUGUUUUGUCUUUCAGAAAGCAAAAAAUAAAGAUCCCAUUCUAGAUGCUAAGUGCUUGAAAAACAGUGAUCAUUUAUAUUCUUACAGUAAGUUGAAAGAUUAAUAAAAAAGAUCAUUCCCUUGGAGUCUUCUUUUCUCACCUCCUGCCUAGGAAACCAGCAUCAACACAGUGUUUGAAAGGCAGUCACCAUUUUUAGGUAUAGUGUACAAGUCUAGAUGUGGAUGAAAGUUCAGCUUCCAUUCUGGCCCCACUGGUGAAUCUACUUCCUGCUGAAUCUGGAGCAUCCAUUUACACUGCCUCAUUGCCAUUGAGUGAGAGGGGAGGUUCUGCUCUUGCCUGAUGGAGACAAGGGAGGAGGAAUCAGGAAUGCCAAUGAGCACCACAUCACUAUUUGGUAUCCGUUGAAUUUCCAGAUACAUUUUAGGAUCAGCUUGUCAAUUUCUGCAAAGCAGAAGCUGCAAUUCUGGUAGGAAUUAUGUUGACUCUGUAGAUCAAUUUGUGGAGUAUUGUCAUUCAGCAAUAUUCAGUUUUUUGAUCGAUGAACAUGAGAUGUCUUUUAAUUUAUUUGUCUUAUGUAAUUUCUUUCAACAAUGUUUUAUAGUUUUCAGAGUAUACGCUCUGCACUUCUUUUGUUAAAUUUACUCUUAAGUAUUUUAUUAUUUUUGAUGUGAUUAUAAGUGGAAUUGUUUUCUUAAUUACAAUUUUUUAUGGUAAAAAUACAUAUAUAACAUAAAAGUAUCAUUUUAAUCAUUUUUAAGUGCACAGUCGUAUUAAAUACAUUCAGAUUGCUGUGCAACCAUCACCAUGAUCCAUCUCCAGAACUUUUCACCACCCCAAACUGAAAAUCUGUACCCAUUAAACAAUAACUCUUCAUUUCUCCCUCCCCCCAGCCCCUGGAAACCACUAUUCUGCCUUCUGUUUCUAUGAAUUUGACUACUCUAGAUACCUCAUAUAAGUGGAAUCAUACAGUAUUUAUCUGAAUUAUUUCAUUUAGCAUAAGGUCUUCAAGGUUCACCCAUGUUGUAAGCAUGUGCCAAAUUUCUUCCUUUUUAAGACUGAAUAAUAUUCCAUUAUAUGUAUAUACCACAUUUUGUUUAUUCAUCUGUCAAUGGACAUUGGAGUUGUUUCCACAUUUUGGUUAUUGUGAAUAAUGCUGUAAUUUUCAUUUUGGAU